GUGGUUGUGGCUCAGUGGCAGAGCACUUGCCUAGCAUGUAUGAGGCACUGGGUUUGAUCCUCAGUACCAUG
rnacentral:tRNA from 1 species